AGCGCCAAGAGGCAUGCUGGGAAGGGUAGGCCGGGAAGUGAACCAAACCGGAAGUGCUGGGUGGCCGCUGUUCCCAUGGUUACCGCGGCCGGGGGUCGCGGAGCGCCGCCAUGUCCUUCAAGCGGGAGGGGGAUGACUCGGGCCAGCUGAACGUGCUGCAGAAAAGAAGAGUUGCAGAUCUGCUGGCAAACUACAUCCCGGAGGACGAGGCGCUGUUGCUAAGGAACGGCAGAUACGCCUGCACAGUGUGUUUCCACCGUCCAGUCUUUGACACGCUUGACAUGCUGACGGUCCAUAGGGCCGGCAAGAAACACGUAGCUAGCCUGCAGACGUUCUACGGAAAGAAGCGGUCACAUGAGAAUGAGGUGCAGAAGCGGCGGCAGCAGGAGUUCCUGCGGGCAGAGGAGGCGGGCACGCAGGAUCUUGCGUGCCCUGCACCCUUGCUGGCUCAGACCAGGAAGAUUGCCCAGAACGCUCUGCUGAAAGCCUCUCCCUAUAACAGCUGCUGCCGAAGGAACAGGUCCGAUGGCAGCAGCUCAAGCAUUAGUUCUUCUGGGAGGGAGCCUGCUGCCCCCGCUGCCUUCGGCAGUGCCGUUGGGAAGCAGCCGGCAGAGCCGGGAAGCUCCGUGGCGAGAGGUGAAGAGGGAUGUGCUGCUGCGGACGCCCCCCACUCCAUGCGGCUUCCUGGACACGCCAGCCUUCGAGCAGAUCACUGUAGAAAUGCAAAGUGCCAUUACCCCUGUCAUAUGAGCUCCCUGAUCUCAGCCUCCCAUGAGGGAACUAAAUUUGCAGAAGGAACCUGCUGCGAGGAUCAAGAGAAGCAGCAAAGGAAAAUCCUCCUUGUCUCCCCAGCCUGAAGCCAUCAGCCCUGAGAAGCGCCAAGCCCUGGAGCACUAUCUCCUGCUCAGGAGCUCAGGCUGGAUCCAGGACACUUCCGGCAAGUGGGUGAAAGACGAGAACGUGGAGUUUGACUCUGACGAGGACGAGCCACCGUCCCUGCCUCCAUCCUGACUUCUCAGCCUCUCCAACAAGUGGGAUACCCCCAGGAACCGGGCCCGGUACUGAGCAACGCUGACCGAUCUCUUGGGAUGGGGCUGGCAGCGGGGGCAGGAACGGCCUGUCUGCGUCUUCUCAUGGCUUUGACUUGGGAUAUAAAUCACCAGGGAAGAAGGAUGUUUCCAAACAAUUCCUAGAAACCCCCAUCACCGCUUCAUUGUAUCCACAGACACUGCCGGGGUCACUCACGGUGGGAGCUGUCAUGUUGCCACUGCCACAGGUUCCCAGCACGAGGUCUGCUCUGUCUCUGGGGGAUGAGCACAAGGGUGAGACGCAGCUCUCGGCGGGACACGGGAAAAUGGGGAGUGCCGGAGGAAGUCAGUGCUUCGGGCUCAUCUAGCAUCUUUCAACCCAGGAUCUUAAAGCUUCUCCCAGAGGGAGGAAAGUAUCAUGCCCCUUUCAUGUGGGGAAACUGAGGCACCGACUGGCAGCAAGGAGUAGAACUCAGGAGUCCUGACUCCCACUUAUGUUCUGAUCACUUUUAUUAGGUGUAUUACGGUAGCACUUUGGCAUCCCAGCUGCUGAUCAGGACCCCAUUGUGCUGGGCGCUGCACGGAUACAGAACAAAGAGACACUCCCUGCCCCCCAGAGCUCACGGGACAAUGCUCUCUCCUAACAGGCAAUUCUCUGGCCUUUUUUCCCCCGGUGGUUUAAGUUUGUUUUUAAAAAGUCGAUCUUCAGAUCGAAUUGGCUUCUCCCUGUGCUGCGGGGGUGGCUUGGUACAUUAAAAAGCAGUACAGACGUC